GUGAGGAAUAUUGGACAAUGGGCGCAAGCCUGAUCCAGCCAUGCCGCGUGCAGGAAGACGCAUCUAUGGUGUGUAAACUGCUUUUGUACGGGAAGAAACACUCCCUCGUGAGGGAGCUUGACGGUACCGUAAGAAUAAGGAUCGGCUAACUCCGUGCCAGCAGCCGCUGUAAUACGGAGGAUCCAAGCGUUAUCCGGAAUCAUUGGGUUUAAAGGGUCCGUAGGCGGUUUAAUAAGUCAGUGGUGAAAGCCCAUCGCUCAACGAUGGAACGGCCAUUGAUACUGUUAGACUUGAAUUACAAGGAAGUAACUAGAAUAUGUAGUGUAGCGGUGAAAUGCUUAGAUAUUACAUGGAAUACCAAUUGCGAAGGCAGGUUACUACUUGUGGAUUGACGCUGAUGGACGAAAGCGUGGGGAGCGAACAGGAUUAGAAACCCUGGUAGUCC
rnacentral:rRNA from 1 species